rnacentral:rRNA from 1 species
AGUGAACGCUGGCGGCGUGCUUAACACAUGCAAGUCGAACGAGAACGGAUUAUAGCUUGCUAUAUUGUCAGCUAAGUGGCGCACGGGUGAGUAAUGUAUAGGUAAUAUGCCUCUUACUAAGGGAUAACAAAUGGAAACGUUUGCUAAUACCUUAUACUCCUUAUUAACAGAAGUUAAUAAGGGAAAGAUUUAUUGGUAAGAGAUUAGCCUGUAUUGUAUCAGUUAGUUGGUGGGGUAAUGGCUUACCAAGACUAUGACACAUAACUGGUUUGAGAGGAUGAUCAGUCACACUGGAACUGAGACACGGUCCAGACUCCUACGGGAGGCAGCAAUGGGGAAUAUUGCACAAUGGACGAAAGUCUGAUGCAGCAACGCCGCGUGGAGGAUGACACAUUUCGGUGCGUAAACUCCUUUUAUAUGAGAAGAUAAUGACGGUAUUAUAUGAAUAAGCACCGGCUAACUCUGUGCCAGCCGCCGCCGUAA